rnacentral:lncRNA from 1 species
CUGGUCUCAAAUUCCCGAGCUCCAACGAUCCUCUCGCCUCAGCCUCCCAAGUAGCUGGAACUACAGGUGUGCACCACCAUGCCUGGCUUCUUAUUCUUGUGUAGCAGCAAUAUGAGUUUAAGUUCUGCUGUUCACAAAGAAUCAAUUACAUCAUAAAUGAACUAGGCUCACAGGGAUUAUGUAUUUAUAAUUCGAUAACAGAAACAAUAUAGUAGCUAUCAAGUAUUGAUCACUUCCUGCAUGUCAGGGACUAUGCUAAACUCUUUACUACUUCAUUUAAUUCUCACAAUCCUCAUAUCAUCAUACAUAAUCUGAAUUACAAUCCCCAUUUUACACAUGCAGAAACAGUUGGCAGAACCAGGAUUCAACUCUUCAACACUUAAACUCUUGAAUGCAUGAUUUUAAAAAACACAAUAAUGAAAAGUUCCAACAUACACAAAGUUUGGGCAAAAAAACAUAAUGAACUUCAAGUGCUCCUUACCCUGGUUCAGUAAACAUCAACCUUUAGCCAAUAUUAUUUCUUUUAUGCUCCCUACUGUUUUUUUUUCUUUCUGAAGGAGUUUAAGAAGAGGAGAAAGAAAAUUCUUGGCAUCAUGUUAUUUUACCCAUAAAUACUGCAAUUUAAUUAUCUCUAACAGAUGAGGACAUCUCAAAAAAUCACGAUACCAUUAUCAUAAUGAAGAAAGUAAAAAUAAUUCCUUUAUAGCACCCAAGACCCCCUCCAUGUUCAAAUUCUCCCAUUAUCUCCAACUAUCUCCAUUAGUUUGCUCAAGUUGGAGGGUCGACAUAUUGCAUUAGGUUGAGUCCUUUAAGUCUUUCUUAAUCUCCACAGCUCCUCUAUCCCACCUUUUUCCCCCCGUGUUCAUUUAUUUAUUGAAGAAACUGGGUAAUUUAUUGUGUAGACUCUUCCACACCUGGAUUUGACUGAUUGAGUCCUCAUGGGGAGUUGUUUAACAUGUCCUUUUCUCCCUGUAUUUUAUGUAAACUUUUCUAGUUAAAUGCUUUUAAUGGUUGUAUGGUUAGGGUUAGGUUUACAACCUUUCCACAGAUGGAAAGGUUGCACAUUCUCUUUGCUCACUAUUCUUAGAUGCUAAAAUAUAAAUCUUAAAUGAAAGAAGAAAGAGACCUGAGGAAAACAAAUUUCUCUUAGUAAUGCUGGUGGAAAGUAAACAGACCAAUAUUGCUGUUACCCAGGGUAUAGGCAAACUUUGUCCGCAAAGGGCCACAUGGCAAAUAUAUUCUGCUUUGCAGGCCAUACAGUCUCUUGCAUCUACUGAACUCUGCCAUUGCAGCACAAAGGCAGCCAUAGGCACAUGCAAUAUGUAAAGAAAUGGGAGCGGUUGUGUUUCUAAAACUUUAUUUAUAAAAACAGGCAGUGCGCUGGAUUUGGCCUGUGGGCAGUGGUUUGCUGACCCCUGCUCCAGACCUACCAGCUUGCAGCUGCACAGCUUUCGACUGUGUAUAACAGGUUACAAAAGAGGAAGUGAAACUAUAGGCUGUGCCUUUGGGCACGCUGUGGUCUUUUUUGGUGUGGAGGACUAUUUGGUUUGAGUGAAAGCUGGCAGAAGGAAAUAAAUUUCAUGACGACUUUCAGAUCUGCUUAUGUCUGUUUUCUGAGUACAAGUGUGUAUUGCUCUAGUGACCCAAGCGGCACAGUGGAUGAAUUCUAGAGCUGAGACAGCAGAUGGAGGGUCAGGUUGGGAAUAAAGGAAACACCGACCAAUAGGAGAGCUCACUGAGCCCCAAGUGGGACGUGACACGAAGACCUCAUCACUUCCCAGUGUAAGGAAGAGACCAGGGAGGAGGCUAAGUGAUUUACAUGGAGUCACAGAGCUUGGUGCUUGGCCAAGACCCCAGGUUUCCCAACUCCCAGGUACUACCCCUUCUAUUUCACUAAACUCUUUGGGUUUAUUUAUAAACCACUAUUUUCAUCACCGGCACAAUAGCAUCUUAUUUAACUUAACUUUCCCAUCAAACUACUCAAGGUAAUAUUUAUUCACUCUAAAAAACUUAAGUAUACAUAUGAUUAACCAAUACUUUUUUUUCUCUAGUAUUUACUUCUCCUUAAUCCUUUUUGAAAAAUGGUGGAUAAAGACAAAAAGGGAAUCACAUGUAUACGCAGAUGCAUUUUAUAAACAACAAAGGGAAUCGGCUAUACAUACAUUUAUAUAAAGCAUUAAUGAGACCUGGAUAAAUAUUCAGAAAUUUGACUGAGCAAAAUUACAGUACACAGCAAGUUUAAUUCUCUCAAAUUUCUAGGCCAAUAAAUUAAUUAAGUACUUAAGAAAACAACAUGGAUCACUGCUAUAUCCUCUAAUGUGUGGAUUUUUGUUCUUAUGUAUAAUACCAUUUCUAGCCCUUUUUUCUUUUGUAGUUUAUUCACUUUCUUCCAUGAGGAUCUCCUUCCACCUCGAUUUUCAGACAAGGUUUUUAGUCUCUAACCUACUCCUGGAAGGCCCCUACAACUGAAGUUAGAGGAUAAAAUUCCAAUUUAGAAAAGAUUUUGCCUUCUACUUUUAGGAAAAAGAGAAGCAAAUCACCCAGAACAAACUAAGAUCACUUAUGAUUUGUAAAAAUUCAAUAUAUUCCUUUACAACUUCAUCACACCGCUCUACAGUAAUAUAUGGUAUUAUAUGUUACAUUAUAUCAUAUGAUAUACUUUAGAAUAACUCUUAAAAGGUCAUCUAACUCCAAAAAUAAAGAUGACUUUUUACAGUACUUCCUAAACUAUAAAACUGGCUUAGAAAUGUACAGAAAAAUUUUAAUAAUGAAUUGGGUAGGGGGAGAAAUUCUAUCCUGGUUAUAACUUUAUUUCAGUCCUGUCCUUAGCAUAUGUCUAGUGGGAAGCACAUUUCAUCAGGAAUGAGAAGACAAGGCCCCACUCUCACUCUUCUACACCCACUUUCAUGAGAGCUGAUACUGAGAAUGUGCCUUAUCCUUAAUGAACUUAUCUCCUCAUCUGUGCGGUGGAUACAAUACCUCCACUGCCUCCAUCACAGGGGUGUCAAGAGGAGACAUGAGAUAAUUUGUAUUAAAAGAAGGACAUUCACAGGUAUUUCAUAUCUUUUGUCUCAUUUAAUAUACACAACAACCCUAGAAAGAAGUACUAUCGAAUGUUUUUCUUUAUUUUACAGAUGAGGAAAUCUGUGAAAAUCUGAAAAAUUUGAUUUUUUGAAGACCCUAAAAAUGAAAAUACCUUGCCAAAGGUCACAAAGCUCCCAUCAGUUGUCUAACCCCAAGUUCAUAUUUUUUUCGCUAGACCAGGUCAUGCUGUCACCGUACUUACUUUGUAGUGUACUAAUAUAUACUUAUGUCUUACUAUUUUUGCAUUUUUGGAGCACCUAAGAGUGUGUUAAGAGAGAAACAUUGCAUUGUGGCAGGACAGGACAGUGGUUAAGGGCUAGAUUGCUUAGGUUCAAAUUCCAGGCCUGCCCCAUACUAGCUAAUUAACCUUAGGUAAGUUUACUUAAAUUCUCUGUAUUGCAGAUCUCUUAUCUGUAAAAUUAGGCUAAUAAUAGUACUUACUCAUAUCAUAGUUGCUAUGGUUUGAAUAUGCCCCCCUAAUUUUAUAUGUUAGAAACUUAAUCUCCAAAUUCAUAUGUUGAUGGAAUUUGAAGGUAGGGUCCUUGGCAGGGAUUAAUGAUUAGAUAAGAUCAUCAGGGUAUGGCCUCCACAAUGGGAUUGGUGGCUUUAUAAGAAGAGGAGAAAGACCUGAACUGGACAUGCAUACUCUUGUUCUCACCAUAUGAUGUCCUCCGCCAUCUUGACAAGGCCCUCACCAGAUGCAGCCCCUCAACCUUGGACUUCCCAGCCUCCUGAACUAUAAGAAAUUUUUUUCUUUAUAAAUUACAAGUCUGUGGUAUUCUGUUAUAGCAACAAAAAAUGGACUAAGACAAUAGACUGUCAUGAGGAUAAAUGAGUUAGUAAGUGUAGAGUCUUAAGAAUGGUGCUUGGCAUUUAGUAAACAUUAUAACAAUUAGAUGUUAUAUUAUUUGUAUUACUUAUUAUACAGACAUUUAGAAAUGUAUGAAAUGACUGCAUCUCACAAGGAUAUUAUGAAAUAAUUUGGGUAGAAAAGACAUGGCGAUCUAAAGUAAGCCUUGAAAGAUAAGGUACUAAAUCAGGUGGAUCUUAUGAGGGAUGCAAAGGGUCUUAGAGGAGCAUGAGCUCAGAACAGGCUGUGUCUGUGAGCCAUGCUGGGAUCAGGAGCAGCUGAGAGGAAUGGGAAGCUCAGGCAAAGCUGGAGUUGAUUUAAAAUGAUAGACAUAUGUGGUAUAUAACAUGAUCUACAUGAUAGAAUAUGAUAGAAAUAUAUGGGUACUAUUGAUGUCAGGGACCUGGAAAAACAACUGCCUCUGCUGGGAAAUGUGGAAUUGCUUGCUUAUUUCUUCUUUCUCAGUGUUUCUGAAAAACCCAGCCAAAUUUAUUUCAUGAAAUAAUCAUCAAAACAGGGGCAUGUCUGCAACUGCCCAAAGUGAAAUCAGGGCCAUUUUCUAUAUUACUUGUGAUAAAUGGGAAACUUUUCAUUUAAAUACGAAAAGGAUGUAUGUGAAUUACUGAUGUCUCCCCCAACCCUCCCAUGUCUCAUCUCUUCUUUAAAAAUGUCUGGGAGAGGUUAUCAUUAAGGGAAGAGUUAAGUGGAUGAUAUCACUCAAAAUCUUGUAGAUAAUGAAAGAUUAACUUAUACAGCCUUUUAGUUUGGUUCCUUGACAUGCUCCCACUGAAGACAAAUUCUAAAAUAAUAAAAGUUGAGAUGGAAUCCAGUAUCUUCUGCUAAUUCUUACCACUUGUCAUAAUUUUUGUCACAAAGUUACUAUUAUGAUUAAAAAAUAAGUCGAAGUGGCAUAACAAAUUGAA